UUUUAGAAUUCAAAGAAUCCAACUUCUCCACAGCAGCUGCUUUCACAAACUCAAGAUUUGAAGAUUUAAGGUUACAACUUGCUGAUCCAAACCCAACUCAGUUGUGGCUACAAUUUGUUGCUGCAAGACAAUACUGGCAGAAGAACAAAUGGAUCCCAUGAAUAAAUUCAGGCUGAUAAUUAGAAAACAGUUUUUAGCCAUCUGGAAAAGAAGGCAGCCUGCAGAAGGUUGUGGAACAGCCUUCAGAAGAAUAUUGGAAUGGAAUGGUUGAAUUUUUUUGAAGAUGAAGUUUGACAAUCUUCUGCAUUAAAUUGUUCAGGACAAUCAUCUGCAACGAUGGGGGUGGGGGCAGAAAAACAAAAGUUUGUGCUGUGGUGUUCAUUGCUUUGUGCAAUAGGAAGGAACGAGAUGCUGUUCUAUAAGGAUGAACAUCUGUGUUAUGGAGUGCAGAUGAUGAAUGUGGAGGCCAGGAGCAGGAUGGACAUGGAUCACUUCCCCCCACUAAGCAGAGUUGUAUUUUUCUGCUUUCAGGACUGUACCAUCUGGAGUGAUCUUCAGUCUCAGCCGUUUCUUUAGCUCAAACUCUUUAGUUCGUUCUUGGGGAAGUGCUCCAGAAGUGCAGAGCACUUGGACUGUGGGACUUCUGUGCCUGUGUCAAUGACCACAUACAGAUGGUAUGAAAACACAGAGAUCCAGCUGGUUCCCAUGGCAUUGAGACAAAAUUAUGUGGAGUGGAGAAUUCCUUCUGAAAGACUAAAAAACAGGGGGAUGUUAUGGACGAACAAGGCCAGACUUCCUUCAGAGAAAAAGGCUCUUGUUCAUUUAAAAAGAGCUACAGGAGAUGGAAGGCCUGAGAUAGGCUCAGACCCCCAUGCAACAAGUCAAAAAAAAAAACCAAAACAGUGUGUCUAGCCCCCAUACACGCUGAACUCUCCAGGAAGCAAGUUCCUCAAUAGAACACCGAAUGCAACUGAACUCCCGUUUUUAUAACCUCCCCCCGCUUUGGGUCCAGGAUUGAUGGGUUUUGGAUCCACACAGUGAUUGGCUUGUUUCUGGUGUUCCUUUUGGUCUUUAUUGUCGUUCAUUCCUGACCAAUCAUUUCCUUGGGGCAUCAAAUGAUUGGUUAGGUCUUUCGUCCAACCUCCUUCCGCGGCGCUGGUUUCGUUGCGCUGACUCUGUUUCUGGAUGUUAUUCUGCCCCUUUGGACCAUGCCCCCGGUACAUCCUGGACCCUUUAGAACUUGCAAAGAGCAUUGACUAACCCCCUUAAAACAAUAACUCCCCUUCCCAAAGUUACAAUAAUCAACUCAACCUUAACUCGAUACAAACUGAAUCUCACUUAUAACAACUAUGCUUCUAUUAAAAUAUCAGACACUGUUUUUUUUGUUACAUUGGGCCUAUCCUGGAAAUUCAUGAAUCAGACUCUUGUGAGAGUUAGGCACUGUUGAUUUUUCCAGCUCUUCUUGGAGGGAACUGCCGUGUUUCAUCACACUGACCCGGGGUCAAAGAAGAAUAGGACAAAAAAAUGUUCAUAUUCAGCUUCACCUUGAAGAAUCUCGUGGCAAAGGCCUCAUAUUCAAAACUUUAUCUAGAAAGGUGGAUUUAAUGAAGUACCAUAGAAACAGUGACAUCUAUUUUGAAGUUAUCUUUAAAAUGUCAUGACGUAUUUUUAUUAGUUUGAAAGAUACUUAAAAUGAAGCAUGCAUAUAUAUUUAAAAUAUUUAAAUCUCCAAAAUGAAAAAUUGUUUCUGUCAUUGAAAAUGACGAAUUUUUCCUGUUGCCCAACUGUGCAGACUUGCAUAGUGCCAUUAAAAUAGCCCAAAUGAAAACUUAAAAUGAUGCAGUUGUGUUGGUUUGGUUUUUUUCUCUGUUAGUGGAAAUUGGUCUUCUCUGAUCUCUUCAA